GAUGAACGCUGGCGGCGUGCUUAAUACAUGCAAGUCGAACGAAGCACCUUGGACAGAAUCCUUCGGGAGGAAGACCAUUGUGACUGAGUGGCGGACGGGUGAGUAACGCGUGGGUAACCUGCCUUGUACAGGGGGAUAACAGUUGGAAACGACUGCUAAUACCGCAUAAGCGCACAGUACCGCAUGGUACGGUGUGAAAAACUCCGGUGGUACAAGAUGGACCCGCGUCUGAUUAGCUGGUUGGUGAGGGAACGGCCCACCAAGGCGACGAUCAGUAGCCGACUUGAGAGAGUGAUCGGCCACAUUGGGACUGAGACACGGCCCAAACUCCUACGGGAGGCCGCAGUAGGGAAUAUUGCACAAUGGGGGAAACCCUGAUGCAGCGACGCCGCGUGAAGGAAGAAGUAUUUCGGUAUGUAAACUUCUAUCAGCAAGGAAGAAAAUGACGGUACUUGACUAAGAAGCCCCGGCUAAAUACGUGCCAGCCGCCGCCGUAACAC
rnacentral:rRNA from 1 species